GCCGCUAAAAUUGUAUUCCUAUCUACUCCAUGGCCAACCCGAUCGCUCUCCCUCUAUAUAAAAAAAUCCCACGUAAAAAAUCCCACGUAAAAACACUUUACAAAGACUCUUUGAUAUCCUAAUCUUCUUCCUUCUCCUUUCUCUUCUUAUUUAUCGUUUUCUCUUCCUCAAAAAUCAUGGUCUCACUUGGUUGCUUGCCUUCCUAUGCGAGUCAUGGUUCACCUUCACUUGGGCUCUCGUCAUCAGCACCAAAUGGAAUCCUGUUGAAUAUAAAACGCAUCCAGACCGACUCUUACAACGGGUACCUGAACUUCCAUCGGUGGACAUGUUUGUGACAACUGCGGACCCUGUGCUAGAACCACCUAUCAUCACAGUAAACACCGUGCUCUCUUUGUUGGCAAUUGAUUAUCCAGCUCACAAGCUAGCUUGUUACGUAUCAGAUGAUGGUUGUUCUCCAAUCACUUACUACUCUCUUGUGGAAGCCUCAAAGUUUGCCAAGCUUUGGGUUCCAUUUUGUAAGAAGUACAAUAUUCAUGUUAGAGCCCCCUUUCGAUACUUUUCUAGUAACCCCCAAACUUUCGGUGGUAGUUCAAGUGAUUUUCAACAGGAAUGGAAAAGAAUGAAGGAUGAGUAUGAGCGACUUAGCCACAAAAUUGAGGAUGCGGUCCAAAAGUCCGUGCCAAGUGAUUUUAAUGGAGACUUUGCAGAAUUCUCGAACAUAGAACGCAGAAACCAUCCAGCUAUUAUCAAGGUUAUAUGGGAGAACAAGAUAAGUCUUCUAGAUGGAUUGCCACAUUUGGUUUAUAUAUCAAGAGAGAAGCGACCAAAUCAUCCACAUCAUUACAAAGCAGGAGCCAUGAAUGUUCUCGCCAGAGUCUCUGGCUUGAUGACGAAUGCUCCCUAUAUGCUGAAUGUAGACUGUGAUAUGUUUGUCAACAAUCCAAAAACUGCUCUUCAUGCAAUGUGCCCACUACUGGAUUCCAAGAGUGAAAACAAAAUUGCAUUUUCUCAAUUCCCACAAGUGUUCUAUGGUGGAUUAAAGGAUGACCCAUAUGGAUGCUUUCACAGUCGGAAAGUUAUCUAUGGUCUAUCUCCAGAUGAUGUAGAUUCGGAAAAUGAAAAAACGGCUAAUAACAUUCUUUCAAAUUUUGGGAGUUCAAAGGAGUUGAUCAAAUCAGGUGCUAAUGCUUUAAAAGGGAAGACAAAUCCACCACCCAAUCUUUCGAAUUCUAUUCAGGCAUCAUACCAAGUCAGUGGUUCUGGUUAUGAGUAUGGUACUAGUUGGGGUACAAAGGUUGGCUGGAAAUAUGGAUCGACCACAGAAGAUAUCCACACUGGACUAAUGAUCCAUAAAAGAGGUUGGAGGUCGGCCCUUUUAUCACCAAACCCACCGGCCUUUUUAGGGUGCGCACCCUCAGGUGGGGCUUCCGUAGCAACCCAACAAAAGAGGUGGGUAACAGGCCUACUUGAAAUUCUUUUUAGCAAAAGUUGUCCUAUAUUUGCUACUCUCUUUGGAGAGCUUCAAUUUAGGCAAUGUUUGGCAUAUUUAUGGGUCCUCAUGUGGGGCCUACGCUCCAUCCCCGAGCUAUGCUAUGCUGCUUUGCCUGCGUAUUGUCUCAUCACCAACUCCCACUUCUUGCCCAAGGUGCAAGAACCAACACUAUAUGUACUAGCUGCUAUCUUCAUCAUUUACAACGUAUACACUUUAUCCGAGUACCUAAGAAGCGGACAAUCAAUUCGAGCAUGGUGGAAUAAUCAAAGAAUGUCACGAAUAAACACAAUGAAUGCAUGGUUAUUCGGAUUUCUCAGUGUGAUACUUAAGCUCUUAGGAAUAUCCGAGACAGUUUUUGAAGUAACACAAAAAGACCAAUCUAGUGAUGAUGCCAGUGAUGCUGAAGCGGGAAGGUUCACCUUCAACGAGUCCCCAAUUUUCUUGCCUAGUACAACCAUUUUGGUGGUGCACUUGACAGCGUUGGUUGUGAGUUUAUUAAAGUUGCAACCUCCAGCUCGUGAUGGGCAUGGAUCUGGGCUAGGGGAGGUAUUUUGUAGUGUGUAUUUGGUGUUAUGCUUCUGGCCAUUUUUGAAGGGAUUAUUUGGGAAAGGAAGACAUGGGAUUCCCUCAUCUACAAUAUGCAAGUCAACUGCUUUAGCGUUACUUUUUGUGUACUUUUGUAGAAGGGCUACAAUAGGUUGAGACUUUGGUCAUGAAAUUAUUUUCUUUGCUCACUA